rnacentral:rRNA from 1 species
AUUGAACGCUGGCGGCAGGCCUAACACAUGCAAGUCGAGCGCGAAAGCACUUCGGUGUGAGUAGAGCGGCGGACGGGUGAGUAAUGCUUGGGAAUCUGCCCAGUAGUGGGGGAUAACGUGUGGAAACGCACGCUAAUACCGCAUACGUCCUACGGGAGAAAGCAGGGGAUCUUCGGACCUUGCGCUAUUGGAUGAGCCCAAGUCGGAUUAGCUUGUUGGUGGGGUAAUGGCCUACCAAGGCAACGAUCCGUAGCUGGUCUGAGAGGAUGAUCAGCCACACUGGGACUGAGACACGGCCCAGACUCCUACGGGAGGCAGCAGUGGGGAAUAUUGCACAAUGGGCGAAAGCCUGAUGCAGCCAUGCCGCGUGUGUGAAGAAGGCUCUAGGGUUGUAAAGCACUUUCAGUAGGGAGGAAAAGCUCAAGGUUAAUAACCUUGAGCCCUGACGUUACCUACAGAAGAAGCACCGGCAAACUCCGUG